UUUGGUUAGCUUGUAUGUUUAUCAAACUAUUGGUAUCAAUGUACGAAAUUAAAAAAAGAUUUAUAACAGAAGGAAACCUCCAUCAGAACCAGAACCAGAACCAGCAGAGCAGAAGAUCUGAACCAGGAGAACUUUCUCCGUUAGAGGAAAGUAAAACGUUCAGAGAAUCAUUUCAAUAAUAUUUAUGUUCGCAGCUUCUCUGAACUCAAUGUGAGACCCAGAUGUUUACAUACGCCUCCAGAAAAACAGAGCUUUUUUACAUCCAUGUUAAAGAAUUGUUAACUUGAAUUAAGGUCCAAUAUCACGAUAAAAAGGUUCUUCUAAAUUUGGAGUGAAAUAAAAUAUUUACAGAAAUAUUUGGUAAGAUUUUGUGCUUUUGCAGUGAGUUUAGAUGACGUGUCUUUGUCCCAUUGACAAACUGUUUUUCUCUUUGAAAAUAUUUUUACAGAAUUAAAAUCCAGGAAGGCGAAGUAGAAAGGAGAGAGUUAAAGUGGGAAAGUUUCAUUUCUGCUUGAGGAAACGACGUAACUAAACAAUCAGCUGUGGCUAAGAAACAAUAAAUACAGUUUCUGUGCGAAUGCAGCCAGUUGAGCUCCAACUGUCGCGCUGUGGCGUCGGUUGCUGCGUGUCGGCAGCAUGCAGGCGGACAACGGCCAGGUGGCUGCAGGAGCAUAAACAAAGCCCGCUGCAGAAACGCUGCUUUCUGCCCACAUGCAAAUAAAACCCAAAUACUGCGCUCCUGCGUCAACCGAUUUGAAUACCGGUCCGUCUUGAGCAAUCCUGAGGAAUGUUCCUGCUGUGGCAACAAAAACGGAGUUGAGAAAUCAAUGCAACGGUUGCUGCUGCUUUGCUUUUGCUGGGAAACCUUCCAGGGAUUUUCCAGGGAGGCGUCGGCAGAGCAGAGGAAGUCCAGUUAGCAGAUUAGCGGCGCGGCUAAAAGCUGAUCCUCAGAAGCAGGCGGCGCCUUCGUCAGCAGGAAGUCACGGCGUGAGAGACCGCAGACCACCGGAAAAAAACAGGUGAAGCUCAGCUCGGUUUCCAUGGUUACUACAACUUCCUGUGAGGCUCAAAACACUGGCAGAGCUCUGCAGCACAAAAAAGGGAACCAGAGUGAAAACACCUGAGAUCGUCCUUCCUCCAAGUUUUCCCCAAGCAGACAGACUCUCCUCUGGCCUAUUAAAGUUUUCU